rnacentral:tRNA from 1 species
GCGGAUGUAGUUCAACGGUAGAACGCUAACCUUCCCGGUUAGAAAUAUAGGUUCGAUUCCUAUCGUCCGCUCCA